UACAGAGGGGGCAAGCAUUGUUCGGAAUUACUGGGCGUAAAGGGCUCGUAGGCGGCCAACUAAGUCGGACGUGAAAUCCCCAGGCUCAACCUGGGAACUGCGUCCGAUACUGGAUGGCUUGAAUCCGGGAGAGGGAUGCAGAAUUCCAGGUGUAGCGGUGAAAUGCGUAGAUAUCUGGAGGAAUACCGGUGGCGAAGGCGGCAUCCUGGACCGGCAUUGACGCUGAGGAGCGAAAGCCAGGGGAGCAAACGGG
rnacentral:rRNA from 1 species